rnacentral:rRNA from 1 species
GACGAACGCUGGCGGCGUGCUUAACACAUGCAAGUCGAACGGAAAGGCCCUGCUUUUGUGGGGUGCUCGAGUGGCGAACGGGUGAGUAACACGUGAGUAACCUGCCCUUGACUUUGGGAUAACUUCAGGAAACUGGGGCUAAUACCGGAUAGGAGCUCCUGUUGCAUGGUGGGGGUUGGAAAGUUUCGGCGGUUGGGGAUGGACUCGCGGCUUAUCAGCUUGUUGGUGGGGUAGUGGCUUACCAAGGCUUUGACGGGUAGCCGGCCUGAGAGGGUGACCGGCCACAUUGGGACUGAGAUACGGCCCAGACUCCUACGGGAGGCAGCAGUGGGGAAUAUUGCACAAUGGGCGGAAGCCUGAUGCAGCAACGCCGCGUGCGGGAUGACGGCCUUCGGGUUGUAAACCGCCUUCGCCUGUGACGAAGCGUGAGUGACGGUAAUGGGUAAAGAAGCACCGGCUAACUACGUG